ACUGUACUCAAGACUGUCCUGGCCCCCGGUGUAAGUUUUCUACCAUGGUCAGCACCCCGCUGGAGUAUUGGGGUGAAGCAAGGACUUUCCCCGAUUACCAUUCUGGGAAAGGAGGGGUGACAAACAACUGCUACCUUGAAGAGCGGGUGCCUGCCUAGCCCCAGACUUGCUUCCUGAGACAAGCAACUUUUAAUUUUCCACGUAUGGCCGAGGGGAUUGGGGCAGACCGAUUUCUAUCAGUUUUCCCACGUAGUGGAAGAGGAGAAAGAGAGCCAACAGGUGAGAAUCUUUACCCAAAUGUCUCAAGAACUACUCAUUUUUCAACGACACCAGACUGAUACCUUCUCUCAUGCAGUCCGAGUCGGAGGUCACAGGGAUGAAUUCCCCCAGUUUGGCCUCAUCUUUAAACCACUGGUCCAGAGAACUCUACUAAGAACCAGACAGACCUUCUCAUUCUCUUUGCCAUCUCCACCAAUACAACCAGGAAAACUGUACCAUGUCCAGGGACUGAACUCAUGGAUUCUUUUCUUCCAGUGUCAUCGUCCUCCUGCACGGUCGCCUUCAUUUACAUCAGGAGCUCUUCCCCUUUUUUUGUGUCAUGAAUGAGGCAUCAGGAAAGCUGCUGGACUGAAGGGGGUGCUAAGAUCAGAAGAGAGAACACAGACAGGCACAAAGCACGAGACAUAGAAGGCAGGGGAAGAGGUGAAUGGCGUGCAAGAAGGGGGCCAGAAGGUCCAAAUUUCAGCCCAAGCUAUACCACGAAGUAGCCUGGAACCACAGGGAAGUCCCUUUCCUGUCUGGGCCUCAGCUUCUGCAGCUGCAAGAUCACACCCCACCUGAAUGGAGGACUUCAAGGAGUGGGACCUGGUCGGGGGCAGAGCAGAGAGCCUCUCCUUACUAUCACUCAAUGACCCCCAGGGCUGAGAGCUGCACCUCUGUCUCUCUCUGUUGCAAAGAGGAAUCAGGGACCCCCUCCACAUCUCCAGUAUCCUGGAAUCAACAAGUAAGGGAGACUGG